UGGGCUUGACAUCUAGGGGAAAGUCCUGAGAAACCAGGACCCUCCUUCGGGAUCCUUAGACAGGUGCUGCAUGGCUGUCGUCAGCUCGUGUCGUGAGAUGUUGGGUUAAGUCCCGCAACGAGCGCAACCCCCGCUCCCAGUUGCCAGCGCGUCAUGGCGGGGACUCUGGGAGGACUGCCGGUGCCAAACCGGAGGAAGGUGGGGAUGACGUAGAACGGUUGGUU
rnacentral:misc_RNA from 1 species